rnacentral:rRNA from 1 species
AGCAGCCGCGGUAAUUCCAGCUCCAAUAGCGUAUAUUAAAGUUGUUGCAGUUAAAAAGCUCGUAGUUGAAUUUCGAGACCGGCUUACUGGUCGUGCUAUUGUACGUACUGGUAUAAUCGGUUUCUCCUUUCUGACGAACUAUAAUGCCAUUAAUUUGGUGUUUUAGGGAAUCAGGACUGUUACUUUGAAAAAAUUAGAGUGUUUAAAGCAGGCUCACGCUUGAAUACAUUAGCAUGGAAUAACGGAAUAGGACGUUUGAUUCUAUUUUGUUGGUUUCUAGGAUCGACGUAAUGAUUAAUAGGGAUAGUUGGGGGCAUCAGUAUUCAAUUGUCAGAGGUGAAAUUCUUGGAUUUAUUGAAGACUAACUACUGCGAAAGCAUUUGCCAAGGAUGUUUUCAUUAAUCAAGAACGAAAGUUAGGGGAUCGAAGACGAUCAGAUACCGUCGUAGUCUUAACCAUAAACUAUGCCGACUAGGGAUCGGAUGAUGUUAAUUUUUAAUGACUCAUUCGGCGCCUUACG